rnacentral:lncRNA from 1 species
CGGGGAUGUCGAACCCCUUCACUUCUGCCCUAGAGGUCCGAAACCUCUAGUUUUGUAUUUUUUCUUUGUGGUGAUUUUUUUUUGUUCUCUUGUACUUGAAAAUUAUUUAAUCAAUGAAAUCGGAUUCUUUUUUACAGAGAGCCUCCUUUUUUCUUCUGCAUUCUUUUCCUUCUUUUUUGUCUUCUUGCACUAAUUUGAGUCGUGGCGCUCUUGUCUUCCAACGACAGUGCCCUGUCGAAGCUCUUCCCCUGCC